rnacentral:lncRNA from 1 species
CCUCAGCCUCCCAAGUAGUUGGGACUACAGGCGCCCGCUACCAUGCCUGGCUAAUUUUUUUGUAAUUUUAGUAGAGUCGGGGUUUCACCAUGUUAGCCAGGAUGGUCUCGCUAUCCUGACCUCCUGAUCCACCAGCCUCGGCCUCCCCAAGUGCUGGGAUUACAGGCGUGAGCCACCGCGCCCAGCCUACAGUGCUUCUUUAAGGCUAAGAAAGCCUUCACUUCCAACAGCAGUAUCUCUUGGAAGGCCAGUUUUGAAGAAACAAAGUGGCCAUUCCCUUUUUUUUCCUUCCUGCUUCUUAUGCACUGGAAUCAUUGGGAUCUAUAGGACUGAUCAACCGCAGCAGUUUUAACAGAUUAUGAGCUCCUGGAGGGCAGAAACUGCAGUUUAUUCAUCUCUAUCCCCCAUGGGCUGCACACAGGGCCCCGCACAUCAGAGACAUCUGUAAUCCUGCUGAUGCUCAUGUGCUGAAAACUAUGACCGUACUCAAUAAAGAAGGAGACACAGUGUUACAGCUCUUUUGGAAUUAGUCUAGCAGAUUUCUCAGUUUUCACUGGAAACCCUUAAAAAGGUCUGUUCUAUACUCCUAACUCUCCAGGAGUUUACAAGGAAUAAAAUCUCUUCCAAAAGCUUUCUGUUGCAACAACUGGACCAUACUGAAAGCUGAGGCCCACAAUUGCAAUCUAGGUUAGCAGGUAAUCAUUGUUGGUGAGGUCCUCCCUUUCCCCAGGCUCGUGUUUGUAUUGGGGAGCAGGAAAUUUUUGCUAGAGCAGCACUGCCAUCUCUCUACACUCCACCUGAUUGGUGGGAUGGACCAGAGAAAUGGACAUUCCCAACACAGUCCCUCCUUUCACAUCUGCUCACCUGCCCACAGGAUACUUUCCACCAUGCAUACUGGGCUCUGCACCAACGAUUCAGCAGUGAUGAAGAGGAAACUUGAACCCUUCUCUCCAGGAGCUGACACCAUUUAGUGAGGAGCCAGACAAAUAAAUAAAGAAGGAAAUGCCAUUAAACGUACAGGAUGACUAUCACAGUGGUAAGAGGAAUGAGGGAACACUCUGGGAGCAUAAAGGAGGUGCAUCUAACCAAUUAUCAACUGCAUCAUCAAGUAUCAAGUCAGAAAGAUUAGAUUUCAUAAACCUUGCCUCUAAGCACCAACCUGAUGGUCACUCUGACAACACAUAUAUUGAGCAUCCUCUCUAGGUCAGACCUGGGCUAGGAGCUGGGGGGAUAUAAGGAAGACUAAGACAUAGCCCAUGCUCUUAAGGAGCUCACAGUCUAAUGGAGAAAACCUCCAAAUAAACUAACACUUUCAGCGUAGUGCAGAGAUGGGGUCAUGCAAAAAGAACUAUAGAAAAACAGAGGUGGGGCCCCUAACACAGUGUGCAGGUCAGAGAAGGCUACUCCGAGGAGAUUAGUCCUGAGCUGGUUCUGAAGGGAUGAAUAGAGCUUAGCUGCUUGAAAAAUAUGGACAAGGUCAGUCCAGACAGAGGGAACUUCAUGGUCAAGAGUAUGGAGAUGAGCCUGAGCAUGGAGGUUGGGGAAUGAGGCUUGAGCAAUAAGCAGGGGUCAGAGAAUGAAGGACCUUAUAUGCCAUUCUGGGUAUAACUGGAAAACUUGGACUUGAUCCUGUGUAAAAUCAAAUCAGAUGUUGUGAGCCAGUGGGGGGCAAUUCCAAAGACAGAGGUAUAAGCCAGAGGGUGCCGGGCUAUUACAGUCUAAGGGAGAAAUGAUGAUGGCCUGAGCUAGGCCAGUAAGAGCAGCGAAAGAGAGCAGAGAGACACAGAGCUGUUUGGGAGGUAGAUGGAUGAGUGAUUGAUCGGCUGUGUGGCUAAGGCAGAGGAAGGAGUUUAUGAUGACUUCCAGUUUUCCAGUUUGUGUCCUGCCAGAAUUGGAGAUACAGAAGGAGCAGGGGUAGCAGAGGCAGGAAGGGAAGAAUGAGCUCGAUUUUGGACAUGUCAAAUUUGGGGUCCUUCUGGGUCAUCCUGGUAUGAGUGGCUCCCAAAGAAAGUGAUUUUGCAGAAGAAGUGAUGCUUGCUACUUGCUCUCCUUUACUGAUAUAAAUUUGAAGAGGGGACAUAUAAUCUGGCAAUUUCAAAUAGACAUAGAAAAGACAUCAAAGCAGCCAGGAACCAAGCAUUAAGAACUCUCUCAUAUAGAGAGUGAGCAAAUAAACCUCAUCAGACCAGCAGACUCUGCCAACAUACCCUGCAUUUCCCUGUUUGAUGUUCCUGCUAUUCCAGUGCUGAUGUCUAAGUAACUGUACCACAAAGUACACUGGGAAGGAGAACAAAUGGCCAAAAUUGUCUCAAGAUCCCCUUUUCUUUUGACAUGCACUAUGACUUGUGGCAAAUGGAAAAUAAAUAAACCCAAACAUAAAAAAAGAAUUGCAGGCCCAUGUUCUUCUCAAGUGACUUUUAAGGGGAAACAAAUGGAAAUGUUCACUUUGCUCUUAUUUGUAUCACUUUUUAAAAUAACUUUAUUGAUGUAGAAUUCACAUACUAUACAAUAAAAUCCUCUGAUGUCACUCCUAAGAUGGUAUGGCUGUGAGCAUGAGCACAGUCACCCUGAGAUGAUAGUGGUUUCAGCAUGGCUCUGUUUGUCUUUUUCCUUGAUACCUCUGUUAAGUUGUCUGCCUCCUUCUAUUAAACUACACGAAUUUCUGGCCGAUUGCUCAAUAAUUUUUCAAUAAUUUUGGGGGUAUACAUUGCUUCACAGUUUGAUCCAAUUACAUUUAAGCAGGGGUAGCUUUAUGUCGUGAUUCUUUGAGGUUUGCUCUAACCCCAAGAAAACUCCUCUUAGCUGGGCCUUUCCCUGGUUCUCUCUGAUAAACAAGAUUGUCUGUGGUUAGGCUUUUUGCUCUGAUAGAUCUAUCAGCCUCCCUUAAUUGCUCACCAUUAAAGUCUCCAUCAUUUUCUAGAGUAUCCUUAGGCUUGAACUGCCACAUACUCCUUCAAAGUCAGUUCCUUUGAGGAGAACUUCAGCUACAUCUGUUCUUAUGGAC